rnacentral:rRNA from 1 species
GUGCCAGCAGGYCGCGGUAUACGAGGGGGCAGCGUAAUCGGAUACUGGGCGUAAGCGCACGCAGGCGGUCUGUUAAGUCAGAUGUGAAAUCCCCGGGCUUAACCUGGGAACUGCAUUUGAAACUGGCAGGCUUGAGUCUUGUAGAGGGGGGUAGAAUUCCAGGUGUAGCGGUGAAAUGCGUAGAGAUCUGGAGGAAUACCGGUGGCGAAGGCGGCCCCCUGGACAAAGACUGACGCUCAGGUGCGAAAGCGUGGGGAGCAAACAGGAUUAGAUACCCUGGUAGUCC